rnacentral:rRNA from 1 species
AUUGAACGCUGGCGGCAGGCUUAACACAUGCAAGUCUAGCGGAGAUGAGGUGCUUGCACCUUAUCUUAGCGGCGGACGGGUGAGUAGUGCUUAGGAAUCUGCCUAUUAGUGGGGGACAACAUUCCGAAAGGAAUGCUAAUACCGCAUACGUCCUACGGGAGAAAGCAGGGGAUCUUCGGACCUUGCGCUAAUAGAUGAGCCUAAGUCGGAUUAGCUAGUUGGUGGGGUAAAGGCCUACCAAGGCGACGAUCUGUAGCGGGUCUGAGAGGAUGAUCCGCCACACUGGGACUGAGACACGGCCCAGACUCCUACGGGAGGCAGCAGUGGGGAAUAUUGGACAAUGGGGGGAACCCUGAUCCAGCCAUGCCGCGUGUGUGAAGAAGGCCUUAUGGUUGUAAAGCACUUUAAGCGAGUAGGAGGCUACUGAGACUAAUACUCUUGGAUAGUGGACGUUACUCGCAGAAUAAGCACCGGCUAACUCUGUGCCAGCCGCCGCCGUAA